UCAAACUUGGUCAUUUAGAGGAAGUAAAAGUCGUAACAAGGUUUCCGUAGGUGAACCUGCGGAAGGAUCAUUAACAAAUUGAUUAGAUGCAAAUUUGAUCAGGUUUAAUAAUUCACCCAAUUUACUGUGAAAUUUGACAGAAAGUUUGAUAGCUUCUGGUAUUUGGUUUUUUCUGACUGAUGUUUGAAAAUUGAAUUGCCUGCCAGAAGUUUUUUUUUCUAUCUAAUAAACUAUUGCCUAUAAAUUGUGUGUGUAUUUUUGUAUAGACUUUUGACUUGGAGAAGUGACCUAGAAUGAAUUCAUUCGAAUUGUUCAGGUCAGAAUUCAGUCAAAAAUUUAACUCAAUACAACUUGCAACAAUGGAUCUCUUGGCUCUUGCAUCGAUGAAGAACGCAGC
rnacentral:misc_RNA from 1 species